rnacentral:rRNA from 1 species
UCGCGGCUACCAUGCAGUCGACGAUGAACCGGUUUCGGCCGGGGAUUAGUGGCGAACGGGUGAGUAACACGUGGGCAAUCUGCCCUUCACUCUGGGACGAGCCCUGGAAACGGGGUCUAAUACCGGAUACCACACGGGGAGGCAUCUCCUCCGUGUGGAAAGCUCCGGCGGUGAACGAUGAGCCCGCGGCCUAUCAGCUUGUUGGUGGGGUGAUGGCCUACCAAGGCGACGAUCAGGUAGCACGCCUAAGCAGGACUAACUGCCACACUAGGAUCCGAGACACGUCCAAGAAUCCUACAGGAGGCAGCAGUGAGGAAUAUUGCACAAUGUCCAAAAGCAUGAUGCAGCGACGACGAGUGAGCGAUGACGCCAGUGCGAGUUGUAAAACGUCGUUCACCACGGAAGAAGAGAGAGUGACGGUACCUGCAAGAGAAGAGCAUGAUAACUACGUGACCAGCAGCCGCUGCUAGAUACGUACGGCGCGAAGCGUUGUCAGCGAAUAUAUUGGGAGUAAAGAGCUCUUAGGCGGCCUUUCGCGUCGGAUGUGAAAGCCCGGUGACUCAACGCCCGAGUCUGCAUUACAUACAGGGCAGGCUAGAGUUCGGUAGGGGAGAUCUGAUUUCCUGGUGUAGCGGUGAAAUGCGCAGAUAUCAGGAGGAACACCGGUGGCGAAGGCGGAUCUAUGGGCCGAUACUGACUAUGAGGAGCGAAAGCGUGGGGAGCGAACAGGAUUAGAUACCCUGGUAGUCCACGCCGUAAACGUUGAGAACUAGGUGUGCGUCGACAUUCCACGUCGUCCGUGCCGCAGUCUAACGCAUUAAGUUCCCCGCCUGGGGAGUACGGCCGCAAGGCUAAAACUCAAAGGAAUUGACGGUGGCCCGCACAAGCAGCAGUAGCAUGUGAUAUAAUUCGACGCAACGCGAACAUCCUUACCGAGGCUUGACAUACACAGAAGAACCCUGAACACAGCGUCCCCCUUGUGGUCUGAUGUACAGGUGGUGCAUGGCUGAUCGUCAGCUCUUGUCGCUGAGAUGUUGCGUUAAGUCCCGCUACGAGCGCGACCCGUUGUUACUGUGUUGACAGCAUGCAUUUCCCGGUUGAUGGCGACUCACAGCAGACUUGCCGGUGUCAACUAGGAAGAAGGUGGGAAAGACGUCAAGAUCAGUCAUGACCACAUUAUGUCUUGGACCGCACACCUGAUACAAUGGCUCAGCUACAAUGAGGUGCGAUACCGCGAGGUGGAGAAAAUCUCAAAAAGCCGGUCUCAGUUCUGAUUGGGGUCUGCAACUCGACCCCAUGAAGUCGUAGUUGCUAGUAAUCGCAGAUCAGCAUUGCUGCGGUGAAUACGUUCCCGGGCCUUGUACACACACGCCCGUCACGUCACGAAAGUCGGUAACACCAGAAGCCGCUGGCCCAACCCCUUGGGGAGGGAAUUUCGAACGUGACGAU